CGCUGCCUCCCGCCCUGCUGCCUCCGCCGGGAGUCCCGCCCCGUCGCCCUGCUGUCUGUGUUUUAAGCCGCUAAAGUCCAGCGCUGGGUUUUUACGGUUUUCGUGAGGAAAGGCCGUCGGGAAUCCGCAGCAGGAGGAGCAGACGGGCGCGCUGGGGGAAAGAGUUUGCGCACAGAGCAGUGAGGAUCGCCAGGCGGGACCGAGCCCGGCCGGGCCGGGCCCCGCCGCAGCUCCGGAGGCCCGAGGGCCGGCGCUUCCCGGCGCGCUGCCCUCGGCCGGAGCUGGGCCGGGGAGCCCCGCGCUGAGGGCGGCAGAGGAGCCGCAACGCGUGUCGGUGCCUUCACACACGUCUGCAUUCCCCCGCCAGCCUUGUAAAGCUUUCCGCAGCACGCACACACGGGGCAGGUUUGGCUGUGAAGUUUAUGUUCGAUUUAACGGCGAGAAGCGCUUCCUGGCCUGCUCUCUCCUUCCCGCCGUGCCGUUUGGGAGUAAAUUCUGGCAGGAUAUUUAAAUUUGGUUCAAGUGUCACACGGGUCAUUUAUAGGUGGUUCAAGGUAGAGCCACCACUUUACCUUAAAUUUAGGCUUAUUGUUGCAUGUGUAUGAAUAUAUUUCUCUAUGUGACUGUUACAUAGAUCAUGUCCAUGCGAGCAGCACCAACAGAGGCCCGGUUCAGUGAUGUGGCACCCACCACAAAAAAGCGGAACAAAAAAAAAAGCUGGGAGUAAAUUAUACCGGGAUUCUGGUUCAGGGGAAUUGCACCCCAGCACUCAGAAUAUUAGAUUCUGUUUGGAUAGAUUAUUUAAUCUACCACCCACCAUCUCUGUGCUUCAAUUUUCCCAGUCAUGUGUGCAAAAUUGGUCUUGUCCUGAUUUCAUUUUUACAUCCAAGUUUUUGUUUGUAUUCUUUGUUACCCCCGAGGAAAGAGAAUUGCUGUAAUAAUGCAUGAAAAUAUUUUGUACUCUCACAGUGUACUUGUGCAUUCUGCUACAUUUUAUGAAGAACUCUCUAUAAUGUGUCAUCUCUUACUGUUUUGCAUUGGACUAUAGCAUGUCAGAAACAGUAAUUAAGUCUACAUAUUAAUUAUAACAAUGUAUUUUCCAAAAAGGAUCUAAUAAAGGUAAUAUUUGAAAAGU